rnacentral:rRNA from 1 species
UCUCUCUGAAUCUGCGAACGGCUCCGCACACCAGUUGUAAACUAUAGCAAGCAUGUCCGAGGUCCGGCCCUCACGGGUUGGGCGCUAGGCGAUAAGGAUAACCCUGGUAAUUCUGAGGCUAAUACAAGACCGUAAUCCCUGGCUGACUGGUAACAGGAGGCUGGGGGACGUGUGUUAAACUCGUAAGGAAGAGCCGGGAAAGGAUGCACGUUCUGACCGCGAUACAAACGGAAAGCUUCGGCUGCCCGAGCGGCUCUUGCAAUGUGCUUCUGACCUAUCAACUAGAUGGCAGCGUAACGGACAUGCUAUGGUUGCAACGGGUACAGAGGAUUAGGGUUCGAUCCUGGAGAGUGGGCCUGAGAGAUUGCUCAUACUUCUAAGGAAGGCAGCAGGCGCGCAACGUUCCCCUUGAACAAUGUUCGAGGGCGUUAGGGGACAUAUGAAUGCUUGCCAUUGGUAGGCAAUUCAAAUGGGUCUGUUCUAAACAGCCUC